ACAGGUGCUGCAUGGCUGUCGUCAGCUCGUGUCGUGAGAUGCUGGGUUAAGUCCCGUAACGAGCGCAACCCUUGUCCUUAGUUACCAGCACGUUAUGUGGGCACUCUAAGGAGACUGCCGGUGACAAACCGGAGGAAGGUGGGGAUGACGUCAAGUCAUCAUGGCCCUUACGGCCUGGGCUACACACGUGCUACAAUGGUCGGUACAAAGGGUUGCCAAGCCGCGAGGUGGAGCUAAUCCCAUAAAACCGAUCGUAGUCCGGAUCGCAGUCUGCAACUCGACUGCGUGAAGUCGGAAUCGCUAGUAAUCGCGCAUCAGCCAUGGCGCGGUGAAUACGUUCCCGGGCCUU
rnacentral:rRNA from 1 species